UAUACAAGAGUGACACACUACAAUCCUACAAUAAACAAGAAUUACCAAGCCCUUUUGACUAAACAAGUGUAUCAUAUACCGAAAAACAUACAGUAUAAUGCUUCUUGUUUACUUCCACCCUAAAUUUUCUUUAUUUUAAUUAGAUAAUUAAAAUACCCAAAAUAAAAGGAAAACAUUAAAAAAAUAAAAAGGUAAUGAUAUAUUUCAUUUUUAGUACUCAUAUUUUGGUAAUUUAUCGACAAUUAAUGAAUAAAUCGAUGUCAUAUAUUUAAAUUUAAUUAUAUUUUUUACCUUUUAGCUACUUAGUUGACUUUUUCCAAAAUGAAUUUCAAUGGUGAUAAUGCCUAAUUGAUAAAUUGGUUGUAUAAAGAAGUUUAUCAAAUCCCUUAAAAAAAUACUGGCUAUAUAUAACUAGUAACUGCCCUUUUCAAAAAAAAAAAAAAAAAAAAAAACGAAAAAAAGAGAUUUACUUGUUAACUAGUAACUGGCCACGAGAUUAAAAAUUUCUAAAAUUGGUUUUGAUACUUAAUCUAAUUUCAAAUUAUUAACCCAUUUCUUUCAACUGCCGUUUUGUCGGAGUAUUCUCUAAAGUGCCAUAUCUUCCCUUGUAUCACUCUCAAACUCCCUCCUUGUAUCACUGUCAACCUCUCUUUCUUCACCUUUGUCUACAACUACUUUCAAUAAGAAAUGACUAUGAUAACACUGUGGCAUGGGGCAAGUUGGAAUCAACUCCCAUUCGAAGGUAUGUUUGCGGCUCGUCUCACGCAUUUGAUUUUCAAACGAAAGAAUUCGGUGUCGAUAAUUUUAAAUCCAAAAUCCAUAAAUUGGGGUACCCUAAGUAUAAAUUAAGUUAUGUAGGUUCAAUUGAGGAUUUACCAAAUGAGCUUUAUGUAGUUGAUAAAAUGAGGGAUUUCAAGCACCUAAAAAGCAUGGUGCUGUCCAAAGGAUUUGUAAAUAUCUUCAUUAAAGAUAAGUCGAAGAAAUCAACGCCAAUUGAAGCAUCGAUUGACAAUACGAGUUCAACCCCAAGUCAUGGAACAGGCAAAAAUACUCAUGAAGCUGGAAAGCGCCGAAGGAAACACGUUAUAAAUGGUCCAAAUCGGCGCGAUGUUCCGAUUGUAAAUUGGUACAAUAAAGAAUUUGAUGAAAAACUACAGAGCACUAAAAUUGGUAAGAAUGCCAAUGAAAAUGCUAAUACUGCUGAUGAACAUGCACUAUAUGAAGUUCAAGAGAUUCCUACUUCUGUAAGAAAUAAGGUAUUCCUGCUGGUCCAGAUCUGUUUCUCCCUGAAGAAUCUGACAUGAAAGAGUUCAAACAAUGGAAGAUGAAAUACAAGCAAGGUAUAAUGUAUGGUGCUAUAACGGAGUCUGUAGUGUACAACAUGGUUCUGUCUGAGGAAAGCAAUAAGAAACAGUUUCAACGCCAUUUCUUACUAAACACUUUAGGUAUCCUUCUAUGUCCCACGCAAAAGCAAGGGUGGAUAAGUCCCCUACACAUAUAUAUGUUGGGAAACGCCACAAAGGCUUACAAAUACAAUUGGGGCAAGUAUGUGCUAGACUGGUUAGUCAAAUAUCGGGAAAAAUGCAACACGACAAAAGAGGGCCUAGGUGGAUGUACCCUACUACUUCUGGUGAUCUACUCAGAUCGAAUUGCCCAUGGUAGAGCUGUUGAAUGGAAUAAAUCAUCGUGUAGAGUACGCUACUAGGACCAAUCUGAUGUUGAUUAUGCUUUAAAAUAUGACAUGGGAAGUGAUUGAAGCUAUGGUGCUGCACAGGCUGUGGAAAACGUUGUUUACGGUCAAGAUUACCCAACAAAUUAGAGGUACUUAUUCAAUGUUUGUUAGUGCAGAUUAUUGUCUACAAAGUAUUUACCUACUACUUGAAAGGAUGAUUAUAUGGUAUGACCAGUUUGAACAACGAUUUAUUUGUUUUUCAAUUACAUUUCUCAGUAUUCUCUGUUAAUUAUAUAUUUAGUA